GCAGAGGAGCUGAGCGGCAAUUGGAGGAGACAGUAUGAGCCUCCGAAGAUUAGGGAAGGAAAGUGCAGUUGAAGAAAACUUCCUUUGGUUCAAUGCAAAACUAACUGAAUGAAUCGCAUGCUGAAAUAUCACAUGACAUAUGGAAACGGUGAAUGGGUUACGGUAAUUUGUGCUAGCGGUCAUAGAAAACAAAGAACGGCAUCGUUGAAUCAACCCCCAAGGUGUGCUCACUGUGGUGAAGGACCCCGGGAUGCCUAUGGGAGGCUGUGGAUGAAAACAAACCAGAGGAGGAUGGUUCUUCCUCCGACCUGGGGGCCAGACUGAGAAGCUGGAGAAAAGAAACAGAGUGUGUGCAUGCCUGCUGUCCCAACUGGAAAAAUUUCGAUAAAUAUUUUUUUUCUGCCCUUUCAUUGUUUUCUUGUCUUUUUACAUCUUGGAGCAGUGAUUCUAGUUGGAUUUGGAUUUAGCUGAGCUUUUGGUAAGAUACCCACCACUACUCCUACUUCCACUUUCCCCCAAUCUAGGUUCCUGGGAAUUUUAGAAAUAUCUACAAAUUUGCUUAAUUGCCAGCCAGUUUCUCCAUUUCUAGGCAACUGGCUUCCCUUAGCUGUAAUGUUAGAGUCUGACCUAUGACAUCAGGGUCUUGUUUAUCUGAUGACUACCAAAUGUCAAGGGCGCCGUCAGCCUGCAUUGCAUGACUCUAAAACUGGGUGUUAGAUACCUGGCCUUGGAGUGGGCAGCUUUUCAGCCCUGAUCCAAACGGGUGGAAGAGAACAAGUUGAGAAGGGAGCUUGAGAUGUGACAGUAGGCAGCAACCGCUGUGUACCAAGCAGCCGGCUGAGCUUUACCUUGUGCUAUGCCCACAGGCAUUCAAAGAGCCAAUUUUGUCAGUCUUGCUUUUACCAAUAAAGUUCACGGAGAAAUGUAAUAGCUCAACAGUCUUAAGCCAGUACAUGGCAAAGCUGGCAUUGCAAAUCAAGGCUGCCUGCCUCUGAGGCUUUACUUAUCUACAGAGCCCCAUUCUUACUCCCAAUAGAAACUUCUAGAAAGAUACUUUGAUGUUUGCUCUUUUAAACUUAUCUCUCAUCUAAUCCCUUGUCACAGAGAAUACCCCCACAGAG
rnacentral:lncRNA from 1 species